rnacentral:lncRNA from 1 species
UUUAAUUAAUUUUAACAAAAAAGAAAAAAAAAAAAAUCUAAAGAAAUAAGUAUAUAAAUGGAAUCAGUUGGCCAAUCAUGUUUCAGCUUAUAAAGGACUUAACGUGGGAGACAAAAGCAAAGCCGUCAUGAUGAUGCCACGUGUACAAAUCACUAUAUGCCAGCUCAGCAACUAAAACAGGUCAACCCUUUCGUAUAAAGUGUUUUUUUACUUAUAAAGUUUAGUUGUCUUUAGCUGUCACGAGCGUAAGUUAACGUGUUUUGUCAACAGUGUGUAUUUUUAAUGCGCGUCAGGC